rnacentral:lncRNA from 1 species
GGGCAGAGUUUUUCAAAGUGAGAUCUGAGGACCACCUGCAUCAGUCUUGAGGUGCUUGGGUGCUUCCGUUUAAAAUGCUGAUUACUGGUUCCACUCCCAGGGGAGGGGGGAAUGAGUGUGGCAGCCUAUGUAGUUCAAAAAUAUUUGUUUUCCCUCCCUGGGAGAAAAUUAUAUUCCUCUGUCUACUGUCAGAUUUGGCCAUCGCAGACUUAGCUGUAAAUAUUUCAGCAUAUGUAUCUAAAAGAUAACUGUUUUAGAAAACAUAAUCAUGGCCAGGCCCAGUGGCUCACGCCUGUAAUCCCAGCACUUUGGGAGGCCAAGGUGGGUGGAUCACGAGGUCAGGAGUUCCUGGCCAACAUAGUGAAACCCCGUCUCUACCAAAAAUACAAAAAUUAGCCGGGCAUGGUGGUGUGCGCCUGGAGUCCCAGCUACUCGGGAGGCUGAGGCAGGAGAAUGGCGUGAACCCGGGAGGUGGAGGUUGUGGUGAGCCAAGAUUGCACCACUGCACUCCAUCCUGGGUGACAGAGCGAGACUGUUUCAAAACAACAACAAAAAAGAAAACCACUUUAUCACUGUCACACCUAAACAACUUUGAUAAAAACUUAUCAAAUAAAUAUUCAGUGUUUAAA